UCGCCGUGCUCGGCGCCCUCCUCGCGCUCCACCUCGCCGCCGCCGUGGCGCAGUCGCCACCAGCUGCACCCACGACCCCUGCUGCUCCCACGACCCCGGCUGCACCCACGACCCCUGCCGCACCUACGACUCCGGCUGCACCCACGACCCCUGCCGCACCCACGACCCCUGCCGCACCUACGACUCCGGCUGCACCCACGACCCCUGCCGCACCCACGACUCCGGCUGCACCGACGACCCCUGCCGCACCCACGACACCGGCUGCACCGACGACCCCGGCUGCACCCACGACCCCUGCCGCACCCACGACUCCGGCUGCACCGACGACCCCUGCCGCACCCACGACGCCAGCGACGCCGGCGCCCACUGCCACCCCGACAACGCCAGCGCCGACCGCCACCCCUGUGGCGCCAGCAAAGCCG
rnacentral:lncRNA from 1 species